UACGAAGGGGGCUAGCGUUGCUCGGAAUCACUGGGCGUAAAGGGUGCGUAGGCGGGUUUUAAGUCAGGGGUGAAAUCCUGGAGCUCAACUCCAGAACUGCCUUUGAUACUGAAGAUCUUGAGUCCGGGAGAGGUGAGUGGAACUGCGAGUGUAGAGGUGAAAUUCGUAGAUAUUCGCAAGAACACCAGUGGCGAAGGCAGCUCUCUGGGUCCCUACCGACGCUGGGGUGCGAAAGCAUGGGGAGCGAACAGG
rnacentral:rRNA from 1 species